UACGAAGGGGGCUAGCGUUAAUCGGAAUUACUGGGCGUAAAGCGUGCGCAGGCGGCUUUGCAAGACAGAUGUGAAAUCCCCGGGCUCAACCUGGGAACUGCAUUUGUGACUGCAAGGCUAGAGUACGGUAGAGGGGGAUGGAAUUCCGCGUGUAGCAGUGAAAUGCGUAGAUAUGCGGAGGAACACCGAUGGCGAAGGCAAUCCCCUGGACCUGUACUGACGCUCAUGCACGAAAGCGUGGGGAGCAAACAGG
rnacentral:rRNA from 1 species